UACGGGGGGGGUAAGCGUUGUUCGGAAUUACUGGGCGUAAAGGGCUCGUAGGCGGCCAACUAAGUCGGACGUGAAAUCCCUCAGCUUAACUGGGGAACCGCGUCCGAUACUGGAUGGCUUGGAUUCGGGAGAGGGAUGCGGAAUUCCAGGUGUAGCGGUGAAAUGCGUAGAUAUCUGGAGGAACACCGGUGGCGAAGGCGGCAUCCUGGACCGAUAUUGACGCUGAGGAGCGAAAGCAUGGGUAGCAAACAGG
rnacentral:rRNA from 1 species